AACAAAACAAAACAAAACAAAACAAAAAAACAACGAAGAAGAAAAUGCCCCAUACGAAAGGCUCUCAACUCGGAAACAGUGCAAGCCUGCUUCUAAACAGUCAUGUGACUUUUUUUUUUUUUUUUUUUUUUUUUUUUGCUAACAGCCAUGUGCUCGCGUAUCAUUUUACUCUGAAAUAACUCUGCGGAUUUCAGCUCAACCUGCCUUUGCUUAUAAUGCAUGACAUAGCCUGUGAGGGAGCCUGAGAACCGUCCCUCUUCAAAAGCAAGGUUCCCAUGCUUGGCCUGUAACCAUGGAAGCAGAUGCCUUUUUUGCUUACCCCUGCUUACCUCUUUGCAGCCACGAGCUGCUCCCUAUUGUUAAAAGGGGUACGCCUUGAUUUUUCUUCGUCGUGACCGAACUUGCCUCUUCUUCAAAGGGCAUGAUGCUGCAGGUCAUUGGUCUAGACUGUUUGCACGGUCCAGAGAACAGCCUUGAUGUAACCCUUGCUCCGUCUGUGCCACACCACCAGCCGUGCGACUGCAGACUGUAGGGGGACAUCGGAGAUCUGUAUUUGAAAAGAAGUCCGUCCGAUUUUGCCAUUGUGCCUUUUCAGUCAUCGAUCGAAUGAAUAUCGAACCUUCUGUCGUUGCAUGUGUGAAAUAGAUAGCUUAGCAAGCACUUUUGUGCCCAGACCUGUGCAGUGGGCCAAACUCUUCUCCUUUAUUCACAAAUAUUUUUUUUUGCAAUAUAGUAAUUUCUUAGGUACUUUAAAUACCAGCAUCCUAACGUUGGACCAGCCUCAGAAAAGAGCUUUGUUUUUUAUUCUUUUUUGCUGUAAUCUGCUUGAUGGAGCCGCUACUGAUUUGGGGUUUUAUUUUUCUUUUAAGUUCUUUCUCUUUUACCCAUUCCCAGUUGAACAUCAGCCCCCCUAGAAGUGCAAAGGAGGGUUAAUUUAAUUUAAAAAAAAAUUGUAUCGAUAGACGUCCAAAACCCAACAAGAAAUUCUGAAAAUCUUGCUAAGUCAGUGAGAAAAUGCAGCUGAAGUGCUCAACCAAAGAGUUCAACAGGACUCCAGGAACUGCAGGGUUGGGGGAGAUGCUCUAAUACCUUAGAACAGAAGAGCCAGAAAUGUAUGGAAAAUGAUACAUUCUUGAAAUCAAUCGGUAAGCAACUUUUUCCUCUUCUUUUAAUAGAACGGCAAACUCUCUGACCGCUGCCUGUCAAAAAACAAUAACCCAGUGACAGCCAUCAGCACCUACUCAUUGAAAAAUAUGCCCGUCUCUACUCUGUUCUAAUAAAAUGCGGAUUGCAUCAAAAAGGGAAUAUUCUUCAGGGUGUUGCUUACCCAGUGUUGUCUGUAUAUGACAUCAGUAUAUAUAUUUUUGAGAUACUACUAUCUCGUACUUCAAGGCAUACCUAUUUUCUCUAAUUGCCAGAGGCUAAGGGGAGGUGCACUAAAGAAUAAAGAAGGUUAUUGUGACAGAUGAAACAUAAUUCACAAUGAGUACUCUUUUCAUCCAGCCUUAAGUAGCAGAGGAUUACUCCGAGCUGAAUUUUAGGGGAGUAUGUAUGAUCUGAUUUAAUAAUAUGAGGACAGGCCACAAGCUGGAAGGCAAUAUAAACCAAUUAUGCUUUUGCUGAAUGUUUGGGGGGUUUUGUUGUUGUUUUUGGUGGUUUUUUUUCCCUCUUCUUUUCUGGAAGGUGAAGAAAUGUUAACGUGAAGAGUGUCUGAAGAAACACGAGGAAAAGUAAGAAGUGCCGAGAAAUAAAAGUUGGGAUUUUCUGGAAUGGAUAUUGAUAAAUGAUUAUUCUAUAUUUCUGCUUCAUGACACUUAAAUGAAAUAAGACCAUGCAAUUUCUUCAGUAAACAUGCGCUGUGAAAGUAGGUAAACUAAUUUUGAUACACUUACUGAACUUGUAUUGCUUCCGAGAAAUUCAUACAUGAGUCUUCUAAAAAUGCUGUACAAUAUCAAGUUUAGAUGUAGAUAAGUGUGACAGUAAAAUAACUUUCUGCUAAAUGUGUACACUGCUUUUCUGAUUCAUUGCUUUAAUAUUUAAACAGUAAAGAGGUAAGCUUGCUUGUGUAUUUUAUAUGUUUGCUUCCUUAAAGUGUGCUUUGGGAAAGGUUUACUUAGCAUAAAUUACUGUGUUAGAUUCUAAAAGGAAUUUUCUUUAAACUGUUUCAGCUUUAAUGUAAUAAUUUUUAUUUAUUUAUUUUCUUUUUGUGUUUGUGUUUUAAAAUUGCAUUCAGAAUAUCUGGACAUAUGUAGGUAGAUAAAGUGCAGAAACUGUUAAGGCACUUGGAAAAAGAACUAACCUACAUCUUGUUUUGUUUAAAGAUAUGUUAAUUUAGAUAAAUUAUUAAGCAAAAAAAAAAAAACAUUAAAAAAUCCAUUUUAAUAGAAGUGUUAAUAAAGUCAUCAUUGAUCUCAAAUAAUGCUUCUACACAUGCUGUAUAAUUUUGUAUGCAAAAUAAAAUCAUUUUUAGAUAGAUUCUGCAUGUCUUUUUCAAGUAUUUCAUUCUGUUAAAAAAAUCACAGAAAACAAAACAAACCCAAAGCAAUGCUUUAAUAUAUUCUUAUUUUUUAAUUACACAAAAUUUGUUUAGCAGUCAGAGCUAAUAAAACUAUGCUGUUAAAACUGAAAAUAAAUUAUUGCUGGAGUUAGCUCACACCUUUCUGAUUUGGGGCUGAAAUAUAAAUAAGGAUUAAUUGGAACAGACUCCCUGUUACUCAGGUGCUGCUUUAUG
ensembl:lncRNA